CAGCACCUCAAGUGGUCAGGAUGAUUAUUGGGCCUAAAGCAUCCGUAGCCGGCGCUGUAAGUUUUCGGUUAAAUCUGUACGCUCAACGUACAGGCUGCCGGGAAUACUGCAGCGCUAGGGAGUGGGACAGGUAGACGGUACUCGGUAGGAAGGGGUAAAAUCCUUUGAUCUAUUGAUGACCACCUGUGGCGAAGGCGGUCUACCAGAACACGUCCGACGGUGAGGGAUGAAAGCUGGGGGAGCAAACCGGAUUAGAGACCCGAGUAGUCC
rnacentral:rRNA from 1 species